AAGGUGCUAGUAUAAAGCCAAUACACUGCCUUGUCAGGACAGAAUCGUGGGUUUAAAUCCCGCGCACCUUA
rnacentral:tRNA from 1 species